rnacentral:rRNA from 1 species
AGUGGAUGGGGAGCAACCUAGUUGUGCGUGUGUAAAGGUAGUGCCAAGAAAAGCGAUGAUCAUGUUGAAAAUCAAUUCCCGGUACCCGAAACCGACAUAGGUGGGCAAGUAGAGAAUACUAAGGGGCGCGAGGUAACUCUCUCCAAGGAACUCGGCAAAAUGACCCCGUAACUUAGGGAGAAGGGGUGCCACCGAGAGGUGGUCGCAGUGAAGAGGCCCAGGCGACUGUUUAGCAAAAACAUAGGUCUCUGCAAACUCGAAAGAGGAGGUAUAGGGGCUGACGCCUGCCCAGUGCCGGAAGGUUAAAGAAGUUGGUCAGUUUUAGGAUGAAGCUAGCCACUGAAGCCCCGGUGAACGGCGGCCGUAACUAUAACGGUCCUAAGGUAGCGAAAUUCCUUGUCGGGUAAGUUCCGACCCGCACGAAAGGCGUAACGAUCUGGGCGCUGUCUCGGAGAGAGGCUCGGCGAAAUAGGAUUGUCUGUGAAGAUACGGACUACCUGCAUUUGGACAGAAAGACCCUAUGAAGCUUUACUAUAGCUUGGAAUUGUGUUCGGGCUUCCUGUGCGCAAUAGGUGGGAGGCGUAGAAGGUAUUCUUGUGGGGAUACUGGAGCCAACGGUGAGAUACCACUCUCAGGAGGCUAGAAUUCUAACUUAAUUAAGGACAGUUUCAGGUGGGUAGUUUGACUGGGGCGGUCGCCUCCAAAAAGGUAACGGAGGCGUACAAAGGUUCCCUCAGACUGGUUGGAAAUCAGUCGAAGAGUGCAAAGGCAGAAGGGAGCUUGACUGCGAGAAGUACAGUUCGAGCAGGGUGGAAACACGGUCUUAGUGAUCCGACGGUGCUGUGUGGAAGGGCCGUCGCUCAACGGAUAAAAGUUACUCUAGGAUAACAGGCUGAUCUCCCCCAAGAGUUCACAUCGACGGGGAGGUUUGGCACCUCGAUGUCGGCUCAUCGCAACCUGGGGCGGAAGUACGUCCCAAGGGUUGGGCUGUUCGCCCAUUAAAGCGGUACGUGAGCUGGGUUCAGAACGUCGUGAGACAGUUCGGUCCAUAUCCGAUGUAGGCGUGAGAAUAUUGAGAGGAGCCUUCCUUAGUACGAGAGGACCGGGAAGGACGCACCGCUGGUGUACCUGUUAUGAUGCCAAUUGUAAACGCAGGGUAGCCAAGUGCGGAGAGGAUAACCGCUGAAAGCAUCUAAGUGGGAAGCCCACCUCAAGAUGAGUAUUCUGGUGUAAGGUCACGGGAAGACGACCCGUAAAUAGGCACGAGGUGGAAGUGCAGAGAUGUAUGAAGCCGAAGUGUACUAAUAGACCGUCGGCUUGACC